rnacentral:rRNA from 1 species
GACGAACGCUGGCGGCGUGCCUAAUACAUGCAAGUUGAGCGCUGAAGGUUGGUACUUGUACCAACUGGAUGAGCAGCGAACGGGUGAGUACCGCGUGGGGAAUCUGCCUUUGAGCGGGGGACAACAUUUGGAAACGAAUGCUAAUACCGCAUAAAAACUUUAAACACAAGUUUUAAGUUUGAAAGAUGCAAUUGCAUCACUCAAAGAUGAUCCCGCGUUGUAUUAGCUAGUUGGUGAGGUAAAGGCUCACCAAGGCGAUGAUACAUAGCCGACCUGAGAGGGUGAUCGGCCACAUUGGGACUGAGACACGGCCCAAACUCCUACGGGAGGCAGCAGUAGGGAAUCUUCAGCAAUGGACGAAAGUCUGACCGAGCAACGCCGCGUGAGUGAAGAAGGUUUUCGGAUCGUAAAACUCUGUUGGUAGAGAAGAACGUUGGUGAGAGUGGAAAGCUCAUCAAGUGACGGUAACUACCCAGAAAGGGACGGCUAACUACGUG